GCAAGAGAUUAAAAUUAUGCAAAGAAACAGAAUGGUUCUAGUAGCUGGGAGCAACAGCACGACAGAAGCGGAGGGAAGGUUUGAGGCCAAAGUGAUAUGAAUAUUCAAGGUUAGAUUGGAUAGGUGACUGAAGAUACGCUGUUUGCAAGGAUGUGGUGGCGAGUUUUGGCAAGACGUUGAAAUUCUCCCACCAGCCUCUGAGUCAGACAGCUCCAGGCUGAGCCAAGGCUGACACUCUGGUGUGCUACAUGCGAAG